rnacentral:rRNA from 1 species
AUGAAUGUUGGCGGCGUGCCUAACACAUGCAAGUCGAGCGUGAAAGUCCUUUCGGGGAUAAGUAAAGCGGCGAACGGGUGAGUAACACAUAAGAAUCUUCCUUUUAGUGAAGGAUACCUUUGGGAAACUAAAGUUAAUACUGCAUACGUCCCUUCGGGGAGAAAGAUGGCCUCUUUGCUGUCGCUAGAAGAUGAGCUUAUGUUCUAUUAGUUAGUUGGUAGGGUAAAGGCCUACCAAGACGAUGAUGGAUAGCCGGCCUGAGAGGGCGAACGGCCACACUGGAACUUAGACACGGACCAGACUCCUACGGGAGGCAGCAGUGAGGAAUAUUGCACAAUGGGCGCAAGCCUGAUGCAGCGACGCCGCGUGGAGGAUGACGGUCUUCGGAUUGUAAACUCCUGUUAAGUGGGAAGAAAGACCUGUUCUGAAUACGAACGGGGGAUGACGGUACCACUAGAGAAAGCACCGGCUAACUUCGUGCCAGCAGCCGCGGUAAUACGAGGGGUGCAAACAUUAUUCGGAAUCACUGGGCGUAAAGGGUGCGUAGACGGCAAUUCAAGUCAAUUAUGAAAUCUCCCAGCUUAACUGGGAAUCUGUAGUUGAGACUGUGUUGCUUGAGGAUGGAAGAGAGAAGUGGAAUUCUCGGAGUAGCGGUAAAAUGCGUAGAUCUCGAGAGGAACACCGAUGGCGAAGGCAGCUUCUUGGUCCAUCUCUGACGUUGAGGCACGAAAGCGUGGGGAGCAAACAGGAUUAGAUACCCUGGUAGUCCACGCCGUAAACGAUGAUCACUAGAUGUCAGGUCCGAUUUAGGGCUUGGUGUCGCAGCCAACGCGUUAAGUGAUCCGCCUGGGAAGUACGGUCGCAAGAUUAAAACUUAAAGGAAUUGACGGGGGUCCGCACAAGCGGUGGAACAUGUGGUUUAAUUCGAUACUACGCGAGGAACCUUACCUAGGCUUGACAUGCUUUUGGCGGUUGCGGAAACGUAACUUUCUAAGCUUCGGUUUAGACAAUUGCACAGGUGCUGCAUGGCUGUCGUCAGCUCGUGUCGUGAGAUGUUUGGUUAAGUCCUCUAACGAGCGCAACUCCUACGACUAGUUGCAACCCUCUGGGGCACUCUAGUUGAACUGCCUGGGAAACCAGGAGGAAGGUGGGAAUGACGUCAAGUCAGCAUGGUCCUUACGCCUAGGGCUACACACGUGUUACAAUGGCCGGUACAAAGAGUUGCGAGCUCGCAAGAGUAAGCUAAUCUCAAAAAGCCGGUCUAAGUUCGGAUUGAGGUCUGCAACUCGACCUCAUGAAGUUGAAAUCGCUAGUAAUCGCGUAUCAGAGCGACGCGGUGAAUUCGUUCUCGGACCUUGUACACACCGCCCGUCACACCACGAAAGUUUUCUAUACCCGAAGUUAUCUUAGCUAACCUUUUAGGAGGCGGCUAACGACGGUAUGGGAGAUGAUUGGGGUG